rnacentral:rRNA from 1 species
GACGAACGCUGGUGGCGUGCCUAAUGCAUGCAAGUCGCACGCACUGCCUUCGGGCAGUGAGUGGCGCACGGCGGAGGAACACGUCGGCUCCUGCCCUCCCGUGGGGGAUAACGUGGCGAAAGCCACGCUAAACUCGCAGACGCGCGCACCCUUGGGUGUGAGGAAACCUUGCAAAAGGGCGGGAGGAGGGGCCUGCGGCUCAUCAGGUAGUCGGUGGGGUAAUGGCCUACCGCGCCGAUGACGGGUAGCUGGUCUGUGAGGACAACCAGCCAGACUGGGACUGAGAUACGGCCUAGACUCCUACGGGAGGCAGCAGCAAGGAAUUUUCCCCAAUGGGCGCAAGCCUGAGGGAGCAACGCCGCGUGGAGGACGACGGCCUUCGGGUUGUAAACUCCUUUUGGGGGGGACGAUAGUGACGGUACCCCCCGAAUAAGCCCCGGCUAACUCUGUGCCAGCAGCCGCGGUAAAAC